GUUUAAUUCGAUGCAAAGCGAAGAACCUUACCAUGGCUUGACAUGCCGCGAAUCAUCUUGAAAGAGAGGGGUGCCUUCAGAAACACGGACACAAGUGGUGCAUAGCUAUCGUCAGUCUGUGCCGUAAGGUGUUGGGUUAAGUCCCGCAACAAGCGCAAAGCGCAUUGUCAGUCGAAGGGAGUUCGUCGUGUUGUUUGAAGAUGAGUGUUGCUGGUUGGACAUGACGAUUAAGGAGAUUCGUCACAACGACGACAACA
rnacentral:ncRNA from 1 species